rnacentral:rRNA from 1 species
GNGCAUGGGCGGGUGCUACCAUGCAGUCGAACGAUGAAGCCCUGCUUGCAGGGUGGAUUAGUGGCGAACGGGUGAGUAACACGUGAGUAACCUGCCCCCGACUCUGGGAUAAGCCCGGGAAACUGGGUCUAAUACCGGAUAUGACUUCCUACUGCAUGGUGGGUUGUUGAAAGAUUUAUCGGUGGGGGAUGGACUCGCGGCCUAUCAGCUUGUUGGUGAGGUAAUGGCUCACCAAGGCGACGACGGGUAGCCGGCCUGAGAGGGUGACCGGCCACACUGGGACUGAGACACGGCCCAGACUCCUACGGGAGGCAGCAGUGGGGAAUAUUGCACAAUGGGCGGAAGCCUGAUGCAGCGACGCCGCGUGAGGGAUGACGGCCUUCGGGUUGUAAACCUCUUUCAGUAGGGAAGAAGCGAAAGUGACGGUACCUGCAGAAGAAGCGCCGGCUAACUACGUGCCAGCAGCCGCGGUAAUACGUAGGGCGCAAGCGUUAUCCGGAUUUAUUGGGCGUAAAGAGCUCGUAGGCGGUUUGUCGCGUCUGCCGUGAAAGUCCGAGGCUCAACCUCGGAUCUGCGGUGGGUACGGGCAGACUAGAGUGAUGUAGGGGAGACUGGAAUUCCUGGUGUAGCGGUGAAAUGCGCAGAUAUCAGGAGGAACACCGAUGGCGAAGGCAGGUCUCUGGGCAUUUACUGACGCUGAGGAGCGAAAGCAUGGGGAGCGAACAGGAUUAGAUACCCUGGUAGUCCAUGCCGUAAACGUUGGGCACUAGGUGUGGGGGACAUUCCACGUUUUCCGCGCCGUAGCUAACGCAUUAAGUGCCCCGCCUGGGGGAGUACGGCCGCAAGGCUAAAACUCAAAGGAAUUGACGGGGGCCCGCACAAGCGGCGGAGCAUGCGGAUUAAUUCGAUGCAACGCGAAGAACCUUACCAAGGCUUGACAUGUGCCAGACCGCUCCAGAGAUGGGGUUUCCCUUCGGGGCUGGUUCACAGGUGGUGCAUGGUUGUCGUCAGCUCGUGUCGUGAGAUGUUGGGUUAAGUCCCGCAACGAGCGCAACCCUCGUUCCAUGUGGCAGCACGUAGUGUGGACUCAUGGGAGACUGCCGGGUCAACUCGGAGGAAAGGUGGGGGAUGACGUCAAAUCAUCAUGCCCC